rnacentral:lncRNA from 1 species
CUCUCUCUCAUCUAUUUAGUCAUGCAAUUAUGAUAUUUGGCAGUAUAGUUGUGAUAUUUGGUAGUACCAUUUCGCACAUUAGAAUACAAGCAUAACACAUGUCAAUAACACACCUAAGUAUAGGUGUCAAUCCAACAGUUAUGCAUUUUACAUAGAAGAGGUUUAUGGUCCGUCAGUUUUUGUCACUUUGAGAUGCUUUGAAGUUUGAAGUUUUUGGCUUAUCACAGACAUCGAUC